UAAACAUCGAUACCUUUUUACACCCAUUAUCCGCCCGGGUACUACAAGCAUUAGCUUAAAACCCAAAGGACUUGGCGGUGCUUAAGAUCCCCCUAGAGGAGCCUGUUCUAGAACCGAUAAUCCACGUUUAACCUCACCCUCUCUUGUUUUUCCCGCCUAUAUACCGCCGUCGUCAGCUUACCCUAUGAAGGCCUAAUAGUGAGCAAAAAUGGCACAGCCCAAAACGUCAGGUCGAGGUGUAGCACAUGAAAGGGGAAGAAAUGGGCUACAUUCCCUAAAAUAGGAGCAAUACGGACAAUAUGUUGAAAUACGUAUUUUAAGGAGGAUUUAGCAGUAAGAGGAAAUUAGAGUGUUCCACUGAAUUCGGCCCUAAAGCGCGC
rnacentral:rRNA from 1 species